GACGAACGCUGGCGGCGUGCUUAACACAUGCAAGUCGAACGCUGAAGCUCAGCUUUUGUUGGGUGGAUGAGUGGCGAACGGGUGAGUAACACGUGAGUAACCUGCCCCCUUCUUUGGGAUAACGCCCGGAAACGGGUGCUAAUACUGGAUAUUCACUGGUCUUCGCAUGGGGGUUGGUGGAAAGGGUUUUUCUGGUGGGGGAUGGGCUCGCGGCCUAUCAGCUUGUUGGUGGGGUGAUGGCCUACCAAGGCUUUGACGGGUAGCCGGCCUGAGAGGGUGACCGGUCACAUUGGGACUGAGAUACGGCCCAGACUCCUACGGGAGGCAGCAGUGGGGAAUAUUGCACAAUGGGCGCAAGCCUGAUGCAGCGACGCCGCGUGAGGGAUGGAGGCCUUCGGGUUGUGAACCUCUUUCGCUCAUGGUCAAGCCGCAACAAUGGUUGUGGUGAGGGUAGUGGGUAAGGAAGCGCCGGCUAACUACGUG
rnacentral:rRNA from 1 species